rnacentral:rRNA from 1 species
CGACACUGUGGUGGCUUUGCUGAACGGAACCAACGCCGCCGAAGUUGUCCUCAACGUCCGUCCUCGUGCCGUCGAGCUAGCAUGUUCCCUUGUGUUGUGCCUCUACACCACGCAACAGUACCUUUGUGCGCCACCGACUUGAUCUUUUCCACAGGUCACACUCUGCGCCUUGCUGCCACCGGACGCCGCCUCGUCGAGAAGUACACCAGCUGCCAUAUUCCGGCUGAGAUCCUCUGGAUCCUCUCCACCCAGCCGCUGUCAUUGCAGGAGGACUUUGAUGAGUGGCUCGCCGACAGGCUGCCCCAAAUCUUACAA